rnacentral:misc_RNA from 1 species
GAAAUGCGAUAAUUAAUGUGAAUUGCAGAAUUCAGUGAAUCAUCGAGUCUUUGAACGCACAUUGCGCCCCCUGGUAUUCCGGGGGGCAUGCCUGUCCGAGCGUCAUUGCUGCCCUCAAGCACGGCUUGUGUGUUGGGCUUCCGUCCCUGGCAACGGGGACGGGCCUAAAAGGCAGUGGCGGCACCAUGUCUGGUCCUCGAGCGUAUGGGGCUUUGUCACCCGCUCCCGUAGGUCCAGCUGGCAGCUAGCCUCGCAACCAAUCUUUUUAACCAGGUUGACCUCGGAUCAGGUAGGGAUACCCGCUGAACUUAAGC